CGCACCCUCUGGGACUUUCGAACAAUAACACAGAAAGAAAAAGCCAUUAGACUCUGUGGGGUGCCUUCAAGAAUCUGCAGUUCUCAUUUCAACAUCAGUUUCUCGCCUCUUUAGUAGAUCCAUUAUCAGGUCUGGAGGUUGUAAUACAUAUGAAUGGCGUGGAGGGCGGCAGGGAAAAAGGGUACCUUCACUAGUCUUACAAAGGCAUUGGCAGUAAGAUCCAGGUAUACUGCAGCAUCAGUUUCCAAAUCUAACCUUGAAGACGUGCAGAGAAAAAUUCCAGUUUUGGCUGGACAAAUACAAGGAUGCUUUCUGAUAGCAGCUCAAUGGAAGUCGAACUGUACCAACUUCCUAACUUACAGAACUUCAAUAAGGUGUUUUCAUGCCAGUCCAGAAACACUGGCUUGGAAAAAAGAACCAGAAGCUUUGGGUUUGAAGAUACAGAAGAAAGGGAAGUUCAAGAAAAGGACAAAGGAUUCCUCACCACCCGUUGAAGCUCCUUAUGUCCCUCCCAAGCUUAAAAAAACUGCUAGCUCCUCCUUAUCAGAUAGAACUGUAGAGAUAUUCGAGGGCAUGACAAUUGUUGAGCUGGCCAAACGUUGUGGCGUGUCAAUACCUGUCGUGCAGGAUAUCCUUAAAAAUGUGGGGGAGAAGGUUGACUCAGAAUAUGAUCCUCUUAGCAUCGAUAUUUCUGAGCUUGUUGCGAUGGAAAUUGGAGUGAAUGUUAGAAGGCUGCAUUCUAACGAAGGUGCUGAAGUCCUUCCACGUCCACCUGUGGUCACAGUGAUGGGUCAUGUUGAUCAUGGUAAAACAUCCCUUUUAGAUGCUCUACGUCUGACUUCUGUGGCUGCUAAGGAAGCUGGAGGCAUAACUCAGCAUUUGGGAGCAUUUGUUGUUGGAAUGUCUUCUGGGGCAUCUAUCACGUUCCUUGACACUCCUGGUCAUGCGGCAUUUAGCGCUAUGCGACAAAGAGGUGCAGCGGUUACUGACAUUGUUGUAUUGGUAGUGGCUGCUGAUGACGGUGUUAUGCCACAAACGCUGGAAGCAAUGUCCCAUGCAAAAGCAGCUGAUGUUCCAAUCGUUGUCGCUGUCAAUAAAUGUGAUAAGCCGGCAGCAAAUCCUGAAAAAGUGAAAAUCCAGCUUGCAACAGAAGGGUUGGCUCUGGAGGAGAUGGGUGGAGAUAUUCAGGUUGUUGAAGUCUCUGCUGUAACAAAAACUGGAUUGGAUAAGCUGGAGGAGGCGUUGCUUCUCCAGGCUGAGAUGAUGGAUCUGAAAUCACGUGUAGAUGGACCAGCCCAAGCUUAUGUCGUCGAGGCUAGGGUUGAUAGAGGACGGGGUCCAUUGGCUACUGCAAUAGUGAAAGCAGGGACCCUUGUCUGUGGUCAGCAUGUUGUUGUAGGUGCCGAGUGGGGAAAAAUCAGGGCUAUUAGGGAUAUGCUAGGAAAAUCAACUGAUAGGGCUAGGCCAGCUAUGCCUGUAGAGAUCGAAGGACUCAAGGGGCUUCCAAUGGCUGGUGAUGACAUUAUUGUCGUUCACACUGAGGAAAGGGCAAGGAUGCUUAGCGCUGGGAGGAAAAAGAAAUUUGAAAAAGAUAGACUUGGGAGGAAGAUGGACGCAGAAAAAUUAGGAGCUCUAGUGUCAGAAUCUAAUUUAGAAGAUGAAGAAGGUGAGGUUGAAGAGAAGCCCAAGAGGGUUGAAAUGACAAUAAUAGUAAAAGCAGAUGUUCAGGGAACUGUCCAAGCCGUUACAGACGCAUUGAAGAGUUUGGAUAGUUCUCAGGUUUUCGUGAAUAUUGUCCAUGGAGGUGUUGGGCCUAUUUCUGAGUCCGACGUGGACUUAGCACAAGCUUGUGGUGCAUUUAUUGUUGGGUUCAGCAUACCAACUCCACCUGGUUCAAUAAGUCAAGCAGCAAACAAAGCUGGCAUUAAGAUAAAAAUCCAUCGUGUGAUCUAUCAUCUUCUAGAGGAUAUUGGCAACUCAAUUGUUGAAAAAGCCCCCGGUACAUUUGAGACACAGGUUUCAGGUGAGGCACAGAUACUGAGCAUAUUUGAGCUUAAAGGAAGAAGCAAAGCUAAGGGAGAGGACGUCAAGAUAGCUGGUUGUCGUGUGAUAGAUGGCAGACUCAUCAGAUCAUCAACAAUGAGGCUUCUUAGAAGUGGUGAGGUUGUUUUCGAAGGAUGUUGUGCAUCGUUAAAGCGUGAGAAGCAGGAUGUUGAAGCAGUUGGAAAGGGGAAUGAAUGUGGACUUGUCAUUCAAAACUGG
rnacentral:misc_RNA from 1 species